rnacentral:rRNA from 1 species
UUGUCUCAAAGAUUAAGCCAUGCAUGUCUCAGUACAAGCCGAAUUAAGGUGAAACCGCGAAAGGCUCAUUAAAUCAGUUAUGGUUCCUUAGAUCGUACCCACAUUUACUCGGAUAACUGUGGUAAUUCUAGAGCUAAUACGUGCAAACAGAGCUCCGACCGGAGACGGAAGGAGCGCUUUUAUUAGAUCAAAACCAAACGGUUGCGGGUUCGCUCGUGAUCGUGUUUGUUGGUGACUCUGAAUAACUUUUGCUGAUCGCACGGUCUAGCACCGGCGACGCAUCUUUCAAAUGUCUGCCUUAUCAACUGUCGAUGGUAGGUUCUGCGCCUACCAUGGUUGUAACGGGUAACGGGGAAUCAGGGUUCGAUUCCGGAGAGGGAGCCUGAGAAACGGCUACCACAUCCAAGGAAGGCAGCAGGCGCGCAAAUUACCCACUCCCGGCACGGGGAGGUAGUGACGAAAAAUAACGAUACGGGACUCAUCCGAGGCCCCGUAAUCGGAAUGAGUACACUCUAAAUCCUUUAACGAGGAUCAAUUGGAGGGCAAGUCUGGUGCCAGCAGCCGCGGUAAUUCCAGCUCCAAUAGCGUAUAUUAAAGUUGUUGCGGUUAAAAAGCUCGUAGUCGAACUUGUGUUCCGCGCCGCCGGUUCAUCGCUCGCGGUGUUAACUGGCGUGUCCGCGGAACGUCCUGCCGGUGGGCUUAGCUCCUUUCGGGGAGCGGCCCAACUUAAAAUCCCGCCGCGGUGCUCUUCACUGAGUGUCGAGGUGGGCCGGCACGUUUACUUUGAACAAAUUAGAGUGCUUAAAGCAGGCUAAAACUUCGCCUGAAUACUGUGUGCAUGGAAUAAUGGAAUAGGACCUCGGUUCUAUUUUGUUGGUUUUCGGAACCCCGAGGUAAUGAUUAAUAGGAACGGAUGGGGGCAUUCGUAUUGCGACGUUAGAGGUGAAAUUCUUGGAUCGUCGCAAGACGGACAGAAGCGAAAGCAUUUGCCAAAAACGCUUUCAUUGAUCAAGAACGAAAGUUAGAGGUUCGAAGGCGAUCAGAUACCGCCCUAGUUCUAACCAUAAACGAUGCCAGCUAGCGAUCCGCCGACGUUCCUUAGAUGACUCGGCGGGCAGCUUCCGGGAAACCAAAGCUUUUGGGUUCCGGGGGAAGUAUGGUUGCAAAGCUGAAACUUAAAGGAAUUGACGGAAGGGCACCACCAGGAGUGGAGCCUGCGGCUUAAUUUGACUCAACACGGGAAACCUCACCAGGCCCGGACACCGGAAGGAUUGACAGAUUGAGAGCUCUUUCUUGAUUCGGUGGGUGGUGGUGCAUGGCCGUUCUUAGUUGGUGGAGCGAUUUGUCUGGUUAAUUCCGAUAACGAACGA